CCGCGGGAGGGCCGCCGGAGCCCGCGCCCCGCCCCGGCCCGCCCCGGCCCCGCCCCGGCCCGCCCCGGCCCCGCCCCGGCCCGCCCCGGCCCGGCCCCGCCCCGCCCCGGCCCCGCCCCCCGCGGCCAGCCGCGGCUGCCUGGAGCCCCCCGGCCAGCGGCCGGCCGCUGGGGCCGAGUAUUGUCUCAAAGGCCGAAAAGACAGGAAAGCGGGGACACUGGGGGACAGCCACGUGACCAGGAGAGGAUUUAUAAUAUUUUCCUUCGCUGUCGACAAUAUUGCAAAAUGUACGAAAGGGACCGCACGGCCGCGACCGGAGCGUGACGGCGCGGGCAAGACAGGUUCCCGGAGCGCCCGCGCUGUGCCCGCCGGAGCCCGGGUCUCUCCAGCUCGCCGGGGCGGAAUCCGAGGGCAGAGGCCGGCUUACCGACACGACACGCGCCGAGGGGACCCAAACCCGGUCCGGUCCGAGCCCGCAGCCCGGCUCCUUCUCUCCUUCCACUUCCGCCUCAGUGAGGAGAAAGGCGUGGGGGUGGGGGUGCAGAUGGGACUUGCGGGUGGGCUGUAGGGAGGAGGGGGACGCCCGGAUCUGCCUCCGCUGCCCCUCGGCACAGGGGAGGGAGCCCACCGGGCAGGGGAGGCCAGUCCCCGCCCACUGCUCCCCGGAGGUGCCCAGAGACCUGUGUGACUACCGCCUGGAGGGAAAGGAAGACACCCAAACCCAGAUUCUGCCAAGGCAGGAGGGGGCCCACACGAGGGAUACCUGCCCACCCAGUCUGGCUCUCGGGGUGGCCCAGUCUCGUCUCCUACUACUCCCUGUGCCUUUGCCAUUCUUACUCCUACAUCCCCCUGGUCUCUCUGAUUCCUGCACCACAGGUCCUUUGCACAUGUGUUUUAAUUUUAAGAUUUAUUUAUUUAUCCAUGAGAGACAGAGACAGAGAGAGAGGCAGAGACACAGGCAGAGGGAGAAGCAGGCUCCUCGCAGGGAGUCUGAUGCGGGACUUGAUCCCGGAUUCCGGGAUCAUGACCUGAGCUGAAGGCAAGCACCCAACCCCUGAGCCACCCAGGUGUCCCUGUUGUGUAUGUUUUUGGAUCAAGAAGUAGUCAUCAAACAUCCCAGGCACAGGCAACUCAGUGGUGGACAAGGCCGACCUCUCUGGGUCUUCCACACUGGUAGAGGGACAUAGAUGAAUAGUCCAGAAGGGAAUGGGACAUGGGAAUGGGAGGCAAGCAUGGGUGGGCAUGAGGGAAGGCUUCUCCAGAGAGGUGAUAGUGAGUCACAGGGAUUCAUGCCAUCCUCGGCCUUUGGGCCUCAGUCACCUCCUCCAGGAAGCCUUCCCUGACCUCACACGAUCUGACAUUUCCCCCUGACCAUGACCCUCCUUCCACGGGUAUUUUUAAGUCAUUAUUGGGUUAAUGUUUGUUUCCCUCCCUCACAUAGAAGUGCCAGGAAGGCAGGACCUGAAUCUCUUUUUGGGUAGACAGUAGGCAAAUCGAAUAAAGGAUGGGUAGAUUUCCCCCAGAAAAAUGUGAGCUGCUCAGCCAGGUCAGGCAUCCAGAUGGCAGCAACUUUUCUCUCUCCUUCCCUGGACCGAGUCCUGGGCUCCACACCCCAUUUGCCGUUCACAGAAACAAAGUAAAAGAAACCAGCAGGCCUGGUGAGGAAGAGAGCGGGGCGAGGCCUGGCACAAAUGGCCCACUGAAGCUCCAGGGCAGUUCCCCUGGAAGGGAAGGGAUCUGCGGGGAGGGGGGAGGCCUGAGCACAGGUGCCUGUCCUGUUUCCUGAGCUCAGACCAACCUUGGCCUCAGUCCAGCCUCGGAGCCAGCUCUUGGAGGCUUGCUUGCCUUCAGAUGCUACUCUGGAGAAGGUGGUGGCCAGCCGGGUCCCCAGGAUGGCCAUGGUACGGGGCCACAGUCACUGCCUGGUCUCCCCUGGCCCUCCCCCAGCCCAGAGCGGACAGGAACCCGGGCAGCACCGGCCUGACCCAGAAUCCGGCCCCUGUGCCACAAAUAGCUGCCCGGGUUCCCCGCAGUUCAUUUAAAGUCCUGUCUUGCAGCCAGGACUCGGGCUUACAGGGGCCGACUCUUCUUAUUUUUUGUAGUUUCCACGCUCAGUGAAUUUCUCCCUCCCCUGGCUCUGUCAGACCUGUGUGCCUGGCACCUUUCCUGUGGCAGAUUAUGCUCUCACAGAUGCCCGACAAAGCUUUUAGCUUCCCCCCCUCCCUCUCCACUUCAGGGGAUUGAGCCUCCAUGCACAGCUAGAGAGAGCGUCUGCAGGCUUUAUUCAGGCUCUGGCAGGGACAGAAUAAAAGCGGCCUCCCCACCCACCCAGCCAGCCAGCCCUCCUGACUGGAAUUGCUUUAAAAAAUUAAUUUGCCAUGAUUUAUGUCCUUCUGUUCUGUGGGGAUCACCAGCAUUUUAAAUAUGUAUUUAAAUCAGAAUCACUGCUCCCGGUUAAACCUUAAACGCGGGCCCCCCCCACCCCCCCACCCGGCAGAAAGAGCACUGGAUUUGGAGUCAGCAGAAACUCAGAGGUUCAGGCCAAGUUCUGCUAAUGACAAGCUGUGUGACCCUGGGCAAAUUACUUAACCUCUCUGCGCCUCCAUUGGCUCCUCCGGUAAGUGAGGUUAAUGAUAAUCCUUCCCUCACAGGGGGUUGUGAGGAUUAAAUUAGAUAACGUUCAGGAAGAGCUGUGCAAUGCCAGGCCUGCGUUUUCUGUUCCCCGGUCCGGGGGUCCCGCUAAUUAGCCUGGUGACCUUGGGCGGGCCACUCAGCCACUCCUGGCCCUCAAUUUCCCCAUCUGAAAAGCAGGGGGGUUGUUCUAGGAGAUGAGGCCACAGAGCCCCCCACCUCCAUCCCUGAGCACCCCCCACCUCCUCCUGCCCUCCCCCAGACACCCUCCCCUUGGCGACCCUCUUUUUCAUCAUCCAAGCACUCGGUUCUAAUUGGAGGCGGCCCCCCUCCCUGGCUGCCUCUCCUCCUGGCUCCCUGCGAAGCCGAAGCCGCAGGGUUUGGGCCCCAGGGGCCUGCAGCUCUUGGCUCAUUUUCAGGAGCAAUUAGCCGUGAUGUCACAGGCCUCCGUGGUGGCCUCAGUGGGCGUGUGUGCCUGGAAGCCUGGACUCCGCUCCGUCUGUGGCCUCUGGGACUCCCCCAGGCCAGGGGUCCCCACUGCUGGUUGCAGAGAGGCAGCUUCCCAGGCAAAGCCAUUUCUGUACUUUAUGACUCCGUGAAGCCCCGAGCCUCAGCGUAAAUUAGUUCUACCCUGUGCUUUUGUUGGCACUGUCUGUUCCUUGGAAGCGAGGGGCUUUGUCAGGAAGAACAAAGCUGUUUGGUGUUUUUCUGAUUUGGGGGAAGCGUGCUCCUCGGGCGGGGGGGGGGGGGGGGGGGGGGAGGCUCAUCGCUUCUCAGUGUCAGUCUGGAGUCCUUGAUUCUCAGACUCACUGGUUUUGUUUUGGGUUUUUAAGUCCUAUGGCUUAAGAGUCACAUAUGUUUGUGUGAGUGUUGGCUAGGGGAUUUCUUUCCUCCUUUUUGGCUUAUAUAGUGUAUUCUGUGGAAGCUAAUUCCAGGGACUGAACUUUUCAAAUCACUGCUUCAACAGCUUUUAAAAAUCUGGACCUAGUUACUCCUGUCAUCCAUGUGUAAAGAUUUAGAAAGAAAAAAAAAUUCCCAACCCGAGGGUGGGCAGCCUUGAGGAUGUACAGCUCCUGGCAGCUCGCACUCGCUGUAGACCUGAGGUCAAAGCUGAAAUGUCGGGUGCCUCUUGGGAUGGGAGGUAGGGGGGAGCGUGGUCUGCUCGGUGCCAGACAUCUGGAUAUUUAGAAAACAUCUGGGUGGCUGGAUUUUUCAGGUUUCUGCCUGACAUUAAAUAUCACAAACAUUGAGCCUGCCUCCAGUCCCCCACCUCCCCAACACACCCAGCCCCUUCCCCCCCUUUCCUGAUGGGUAAGAAACAUCCAUUCUUUCCAAUUCCCCAGCGUUUCCCCCCUACCGGAAAUCUGAUGGGCUUAUGACAUCAUGGCUGGCUGCUGAGCGAUGAAGUGGAUGCCACAAAGAAAUCCGACAUAUCAGAUGGAUUCUGAAAUCAGUUUCCCUCUGGCUGUAGUAACAGGCGUGAAGUCAGGAGAAUGUGAGCUUUGUUUAAAAAAACAAAAAAAUAUAACUAAGCCUCGUCCUGUGUUAAAUACAGUUUUUUUUUUUUUUUUUUAAGCAAACACACCUUUUGGACAUCAUCCUAUUUUAAUAGACAUGCUGGUUUUUAUGAAAUGAAAGCGUCUAAUAAAUCAGACCUGAUGCUGCAUUUGAACGUUGUUCCCUUUCGGUUGAGUUUUUGUGUGUCCUUAUUCACUAAUAAAGGAGGAACUAGGAAUUGUUUAUCUCCCUUCGUUAUUCAAAUGGGGUGGCUUUUUGUUUGUUUGUUUGGUUUAGUUUUUGUUUUUGUUUUUGUUUUUGUUUUUGAGGCCAAUAAAAUUCACGGGGUAAAUUGCUGGGUUAUAUGUUUCCAGGAAUCCAUUUUUAUAGAGUGACCUUGGACCUGACCUCGUCU
rnacentral:lncRNA from 1 species